AAAUAAUCUUCAAUAUCAAUAGAUGACCUCAAACUCUUCAAUCGGGUAGAGAAAUGAUAUUGAUUGAAGGAGUAAAAGCUUCAUAUUUAAGAGGGAUACGAUCUAUAUCAAAAUAUUUAUUAUUCAAGAUGAAAAUUCGAUGACCCAUUAAUUUUAGAUAUAAAAUGCUAAAAUUUUAACUCAACACAAGAUAAAAGAACAUACUAAUAUGAAUCAUAUAGUGAUAUCCCAAUC
rnacentral:lncRNA from 1 species